rnacentral:rRNA from 1 species
GAUGAACGCUGGCGGCGUGCCUAACACAUGCAAGUCGAGCGAUUCUCUUCGGAGAAGAGCGGCGGACGGGUGAGUAACGCGUGGGUAACCUGCCCUGUACACACGGAUAACAUACCGAAAGGUAUGCUAAUACGAGAUAAUAUGCUUUUAUCGCAUGGUAGAAGUAUCAAAGCUCCGGCGGUACAGGAUGGACCCGCGUCUGAUUAGCUAGUUGGUAAGGUAACGGCUUACCAAGGCGACGAGCAGUAGCCGACCUGAGAGGGUGAUCGGCCACAUUGGAGCGGAGACACGGUCCAAACUCCUACGGGAGGCAGCAGUGGGGAAUAUUGCACAAUGGGCGAAAGCCUGAUGCAGCAACGCCGCGUGAGCGAUGAAGGCCUUCGGGUCGUAAAGCUCUGUCCUCAAGGAAGAUAAUGACGGUACUUGAGGAGGAAGCCCCGGCUAACUACGUGCCAGCCGCCGCUGUAA